rnacentral:rRNA from 1 species
CGGCAGGCCUAACACAUGCAAGUCGAGCGGUAGCACAGAGAGCUUGCUCUCGGGUGACGAGCGGCGGACGGGUGAGUAAUGUCUGGGAAACUGCCUGAUGGAGGGGGAUAACUACUGGAAACGGUAGCUAAUACCGCAUAAUGUCGCAAGACCAAAGUGGGGGACCUUCGGGCCUCAUGCCAUCAGAUGUGCCCAGAUGGGAUUAGCUAGUAGGUGGGGUAACGGCUCACCUAGGCGACGAUCCCUAGCUGGUCUGAGAGGAUGACCAGCCACACUGGAACUGAGACACGGUCCAGACUCCUACGGGAGGCAGCAGUGGGGAAUAUUGCACAAUGGGCGCAAGCCUGAUGCAGCCAUGCCGCGUGUGUGAAGAAGGCCUUCGGGUUGUAAAGCACUUUCAGCGGGGAGGAAGGCGUUAAGGUUAAUAACCUUGGCGAUUGACGUUACCCGCAGAAGAAGCACCGGCUAACUCCGUGCCAGCAGCCGCGGUAAUACGGAGGGUGCAAGCGUUAAUCGGAAUUACUGGGCGUAAAGCGCACGCAGGCGGUCUGUCAAGUCGGAUGUGAAAUCCCCGGGCUCAACCUGGGAACUGCAUUCGAAACUGGCAGGCUAGAGUCUUGUAGAGGGGGGUAGAAUUCCAGGUGUAGCGGUGAAAUGCGUAGAGAUCUGGAGGAAUACCGGUGGCGAAGGCGGCCCCCUGGACAAAGACUGACGCUCAGGUGCGAAAGCGUGGGGAGCAAACAGGAUUAGAUACCCUGGUAGUCCACGCCGUAAACGAUGUCGAUUUGGAGGUUGUGCCCUUGAGGCGUGGCUUCCGGAGCUAACGCGUUAAAUCGACCACCUGGGGAGUACGGCCGCAAGGUUAAAACUCAAAUGAAUUGACGGGGGCCCGCACAAGCGGUGGAGCAUGUGGUUUAAUUCGAUGCAACGCGAAGAACCUUACCUGGUCUUGACAUCCACAGAACUUUCCAGAGAUGGAUUGGUGCCUUCGGGAACUGUGAGACAGGUGCUGCAUGGCUGUCGUCAGCUCGUGUUGUGAAAUGUUGGGUUAAGUCCCGCAACGAGCGCAACCCUUAUCCUUUGUUGCCAGCGGUUAGGCCGGGAACUCAAAGGAGACUGCCAGUGAUAAACUGGAGGAAGGUGGGGAUGACGUCAAGUCAUCAUGGCCCUUACGACCAGGGCUACACACGUGCUACAAUGGCAUAUACAAAGAGAAGCGACCUCGCGAGAGCAAGCGGACCUCAUAAAGUAUGUCGUAGUCCGGAUUGGAGUCCGCAACUCGACUCCAUGAAGUCGGAAUCGCUAGUAAUCGUAGAUCAGAAUGCUACGGUGAAUACGUUCCCGGGCCUUGUACACACCGCCCGUCACACCAUGGGAGUGGGUUGCAAAAGAAGUAGGUAGCUUAACCUUCGGGAGGGCGCUUACCACUUUGUGAUUCAUGACUG